UUAUUUAUAUGACAAAAUUGUAAUUGAAUCUUAUGCCAUCAAUUUUUAUGAAUAUCUUUUAUAUCAAUUAUUUUAGUGUUUAUUAUGGAUUGUAACAAAUUAGAAGAAUAUAAUUAUAUGUAUGGUUGUAAAUUAGAAGUUUACAAACAACAUUUAUAUGUGUUGUUGACAAAACUAAUUGGGUCAUCUCAGGUGUAUUAUGAUGAAAAAAGUAGUAUUGAAGAAACAUAAGUUUCUUCGAUCCAAUAAAUUUUGUGUGAUUCUGAAGAAAAUUUAAAUUGUG
rnacentral:lncRNA from 1 species